GCUAUGCCCCACCAAAAGUUUUUAUUCUGAUUGGGACAAUACAGAGAUUAGCAUGGCCCCUGUGCAAGGAUGACACGCAAAUUUGUGAAGUGUUCCAUAUUUUU